GCUCACACUAACUACUAUAAUACAUUAAAUAAUCAAUAAAAGCCUAACAAAACAUUUUUAAAGUCCAGUAAACGUGAUUAAAAAACUAUUAAAGCCUAAAAGUACCGUAAGGGAACUAUGAAAUAGAAUUGAAAUAACCUAAAAGCACCAAAAAGUAGAGCUUAUACCUCGUACCUUUCGCAUAUCGUCUAGCCAGUCUAACCAAGCAAAAUGAAUUUACAGUUUGACUUCCCGAAACUAAGUGAGCUACUUCAAAACAAUUUAUUGAACUAACCCAUCUCUGUAGCAAAAGGGUGGAAAGAUUUUCAAGUAGAGGUGAUAAGCCUACCGAACUUAGAGAUAGCUGGUUGUUCAAGAAACGGAUCUUAGUCCAACCUAGAGUUUUUCUCAUUACUUAAAAAACAAAUAAACUCUUGAGCCAUUCAAAUAAGGUACAGCUUAUUUGAAACAGGGUACAACCUAAAACACUGGGUAAUGCAUAAUCUUCAACCAAGUGGGCCUAAAAGCAGCCACCUUUAAAAAUGCGUUAAAGCUUAAUUCUAACCCAUUUUGAUACCAAAAUCUAAUAAAACCCCUCAUCAAUAUUGAACGACUUCAUAAAUAUAUGAAAAACACAAUGCUAGAACUAGUAAUAAGAAGAACGCCUUCUCCACAAUGUAAGCAUGACCCAGAACGGACCAAACACUGGAACCUAACGUUUCUGAAAUUAUUGUAAUAACAUAACAAGAAAACACUACCUAACAAACCGUCAACCUAACACAAGAACAUUACUGGAAAGAUCAAAAAAGUAUGAAGGAACUCGGCAAACUAUGACCCCGCCUGUUUACCAAAAACAUCGCCUCUUGACACUUAUAAGAGGUCCAGCCUGCCCAAUGACUCAUUAAAUGGCCGCGGUACCCUAACCGUGCGAAGGUAGCAUAAUCACUUGUUCGUUAAAUCCGGACUAGUAUGAACGGCCCCACGAGGGUUGCACUGUCUCCCUACUUUAAUCAAUUAAACUAAUCUCCCCGUGAAGAAGCGGGGAUCAAAAUAUAAGACGAGAAGACCCCAUGGAGCUUAAAACCCAGAACCAACUACUAAAAAUUUUCAUUAAAACCCGUAUACCUGGCCCCUGGUUUUUGGUUGGGGCGACCGCGGAGUAAAACACAUCCUCCACGAUGAAUAGACAUUUUACUUAAGAGCUACACCUCUAAAGAUCCUAAAUAAGACAUUCACUGACCCAAACACUUGAUCAACGAACCUAGUUACCCUGGGGAUAACAGCGCAAUCCAUUUCAAGAGCCCCUAUCGACAAAUGGGUUUACGACCUCGAUGUUGGAUCAGGGCAUCCCAGUGGUGCAACCGCUACUAAAGGUUUGUUUGUUCAACAAUUAAAGCCCU
rnacentral:rRNA from 1 species